UGACAUAUCGCAACAACUAUUUAGAUUGUAUUACAAAAUACUCUUGUAUAAUGUAUGAUUAAGGCUUUAAUAUUAAUUUUUUAAUACAAAUGAAGUGAUUUUAAUUAAAUCCAUUUUUAUCAGUCACUUUAAAAAUAUGAUGAGUAUUUGUAUAAAGAUAAUUAAAAUUUCAAACAAUAAUAUUAGCUUUACUUGUUGUUUUUUUUUAGAUGAAUCAAUUGCCAUUGAUGGAAUAUCUUAAAAAUGCUGAGAAUAUUUUCCAACAAUUUUGUAACCUCCAUGAAUAUAAAGGGGAAAGGUGGAAAUAUGCUUUAAGAGCACUAAUUUAUAUGGUGUAGUGAAAGCUUCUUCUAUUAAAUACGAUGGAGCGAC